UCACACCAGAUAUUCCAGCAUGAUCCCUUUUAUAAAUCUAUUUGGUUGACUUCUUCUCUUGUAGCUGACUCAGAAAUUGGGAUGAUUUCUCUGUGGAUCCUAUAAGGAGCCUGGAGAUGGUGAAGAGAAUGCCUUGACCAUCAGGAGACAGCUUACCUUAUUGAAUCUUGAUCACUUCUUCUGACUACUUUGGAUAUUAAAAGAACAAGAUAUGCUCAUAAGGUGCCUCAUUCUUGUAACUGCUGGAGAUAGGAUGAUGAUGACACAGAUUCUGUCUUCAAGAAGCUCACAAAAAAGUGGGAAAAUGAUGUGACUGCAGAUAAAGACCAUGAGAAGGACUCUUUACACAAGAUAUUUGCUUAAGUACUGAAGGGCCUAGAAGACAGAGUGACCAGUGUCCAAAAUCCUUUGUGAAUUGCAUUCACAUACGGCACCUGAUUUGAUUCUCAGAGCACCCAGAUGGCUGUUUUUUGGUGGUUUUUUUAAAGUAUGGAAAGACAAAUGCCCCAGUUCCCAGCAAGUUCUACUUCAUCAUGCUAUAGGCUUCUGUGAAUAGGAAAAAUGUACCACCAUCAAGAAGCAAGCAGCUUGCUUGUGUUUCAGAGGAACCACCCAUGGAAGAACGUCUUCUUGGAUUAAAACUAGUAUUGCCAUGUUCCAUUCUAGAAUGUCCAAAUGCCACCCUUCUGAAGAUGUUUAGUUCAAGAGUUUCCAUUUUCACAUUAAGUUUCGAUGUCCAUACUUAGUGGGAUGAAGAUGGUGGUGUAUGGCUUUUCUCUCUUACAACAUUUUUUUUGUCCCUUAUCUAUACAUCUUUUCCCUAAAUAUUCAGCAAGAUUUGAAGUUGUAAAAAAAUCCUAAACUUCCCCAAUUGUAGGAAUGAUAACUGGAAUAUUAUUUUAAGAGCAAAUACAUGUACAUUCCUAAUGUUGCUUGAAUGGGAAUUAUGAAGAAGAAGAAGAAAAAAAAGAAAAAAAAGAAAAACAAACCCAUGAGAGUUUGGGUUGCUAUUUCUGACCAAGUUGAAAUUGUGAAAUACCAGAAGUCCCACAGGAAAUCUUAUCUCACCGGAAGACGAUCAUGGUCUCUUGGCCAAAGAACGCCUUAUGAAUGGAAACCAUUUCAUUUCCUUCUGACCUCAGCAAUCAUGAUCACCAGCAAAGGAAUGUUUUUAAAGUGCCAAGUAUAGAAAAGAACCGAAAUUGAUUGAGGUAGAAGAACACAAACUGGAUUUCUUAAAAGGGCCAUAUCAAUUCGAACCAAGAAGCAUCUCUUCUUAAGAUUCCCUGAACAGAAGAAAAGAGCACAUUACAAUCAGUUCUCAUUAAUACGAAUCCUUCAUUUUGCUGUGACCCCCGUGAGCCUGGAUGCAGUGAGUAUUGAAUUUGUUCUUUUGAAUUGGUGGAAGAAAACUGAACAAAAACUCAGGAGCCCUGGGUUCCUGUCCCAGCUUGGGCAACGUGUGUGCAAUUUGGUGUGGGUCACCUUCCGUCUUGGGCCUCAGUUUCCUCAUUUGUGAAGGGGAGGGCUACUCAGCCCUCCCAGGACAUUUCAGGUCUGAUAUCUCAUAGUUUUACAACACUAAAUGAAGGCAGAGAGAAGAGGUGGAGGAGAAAACUCCCCAGCCAUGGAAAACAAGAUGGCGCUGCUGGCUAUGUCUGCCUGAGUAUACCUCCUAGACUAUUUUUUGAGGGGAGAUCAUAAAUAUUAGGAUAAUUUAAACAACACUGAAUUCAAACAGCUCUUGAAGGUUUUCCAGCUCCUCAGUGUUUUUGUUCUUCCCUAUGCCCACCCCUACCCUGGCAUUUCCACCCAGGUGGGUAUAGUUGCUCCAGAGCCCCGUCCUCUGAGUUGUCCUGGUUAUACCCAUUCAAUACUGGUUCUAAGUCCUGCAGAAAAUCACUGACCUCCUCUGGGGUAAGUAGCCUCUUUCUACUUUUGUGAUAAUGCUCUUUGGCUCCUGCUGCCAGGGCUGGCUUCUAAGGACCAGGAUUUUCUAGCUCCAGAGUCCAAAAGUUUCCUAGCUGGUGUUUUCCUACUUUAUAUCGUAUUACUUAAAAAAAAAAAAAAAAAAAAAAGGAAGAAAAAAAUUAUUUAAAGUACUUACAGAAGGCAGUGGUGGGGAUGGGGGAGUGGCAGUGCUAUUCAUUAGAACUCCUAUAGAGUAAUCAAGUCUCUUCAUUCCAAAGAGUGU
ensembl:lncRNA